CCCCCCCCAAACACCUGUUCAAUAAAUCAAUCAAAGAUAAUGAUUAAUAGUGUUUAUGUGUAAUAGAAUAUUUUCCCGCUCUUUUUGAAAAUGUAUGGCUGAUAGUUUCCCAUCCUCCCAGCUGUUCAGGCCCACCAUAUCCUGACAAUCAAUCAAUCAAGAAUAAUAAUUAAUAGUGUUUAUGUGUAAGAGGAUAUUUUCCCGCUCUUUUUGAAAAUGUAUGGCUGAUAGUUUCCCAUCCUCCCAGCUGUUCAGGCCCACCAUAUCCUGACAAUCAAUCAAUCAAGAAUAAUAAUUAAUAGUGUUUAUGUGUAAGAGGAUAUUUUCCCGCUCUUUUUGAAAAUGUAUGGCUGAUAGUUUCCCAUCCUCCCAGCUGUUCAGGCCCACCAUAUCCUGACAAUUAAUCAAUCAAGAAUAAUGAUUAAUAGUGUUUAUGUGUAAUAGAAUAUUUUCCCGCUCUUUUUGAAAAUGUAUGGCUGAUAGUUUCCCAUCCUCCCAGCUGUUCAGACCCCCAUAUUCUGAUAAUCAAUCAAUCAAGAAUAAUGAUUAAUAUUGUUUAUGUGUAAGAGAAUAUUUUCCUGCUCUUUUGGAAAAUGUAUGGCUGAUAGUUUCCCAUCCUCCCACCUGUUCAGACCGCCCAUAUCCAGAUAAUCAAUCAAUCAAGAAUAAUGAUUAAUAGUGUGUAAAAGAGAAUAUUUUCCUGCAUGAGAAUACUUUUACCCACAGCCAAACCUGUUCGGAGGCCCCUCUCUCACACACACACACACACACACACACACACACAUACAGGCACGUACACGCGCACAGACAUACACACACACACAGUCACGGUCCUGCUCACACACCCGCCAGCCCCCCUUAACCAAACAUUCAGUCUCUUGACUUCACACACACACACACACACACACACACAGUGAGACAUGUUCAGACACAAAAUUAUUUUAUUUAUCCGAGCAACCAAUAAGGAAUAAUUACGUGUAGAUACGUGUACAUACGUAAUAUAACCACGCCCUUUAUUCAAUAAAAGCAGAGAGGUUACGGUACUCUACCAAACAUUCAACAGGCGGUGGUGUUUCUAACGUUACACGGCAAAAGAUCGCAAAACAUGGAUGCUCUUACAAACGCACCAAGAAAGGAAAUCGCAGGGUCUGAAAAGAAUCAUGUAUGGCCGCUAUCAGACGGUCGAUUCUUUGGAUUUCGUUUCCACGAUGAUAUGAAAUGCGUCACUCUGUGUAUCGGUCCAACAGUAAGAUUUGAGGAUGCGACCGUUUUGAUAACUCUUAAUGGAGAGGAAUGGCAUAGCUUCUCAAGACAUUGUUCAGUUUUUAACACCUAUCUCAUUUACAGAAAUUGUUACUGUAAACCGGAUUACCAUGAGAAAUUUAAUUUAACAUGGACACCCUAUAUACAAACCGGAACAAUGUUGCGUUCAUUCAAUCUAUAUCCGUAUUUAAAUGCCAAAUCGUACAAUGCCAGACUUACAAUUGUUCACGAAGUUACAAGUUUAUUAAAACAAAACAAUUUUUUUGAACAGGAAUGUAAAAUUGAAUUACAAAAUGAUGACUUCAACGCAAUGCAGACGUACUUUGCAAUAAUAGACCGUAUGUUCAUUGAGAGCAUCGUUGAAAAACAUUAAAUCUGAUACAGAAUUUCUGAGCUUCUGAAUGCGUUAUCAUCAGUAAAAACUGAAUAGUUUAGAGUGCAGUGUAUCUUAGUGUUUGAGUCUGUGUCAGCGGCAAGAUUUGUACCACGGCCUGCUGUAUUGUGUUUCUGAUCUUCCAGGACAGCUGCGUGACCAAUUAGUGAUUUCUUACUCAAGACUCGCAUGUGCUUCUCAAUGUAUAUAAACACGGAGUUUUCUUCAUACGGUCACAAACAUUUUCAGAGCUCAAGAAUCUCUUUCGUUGGAAGAUAAUGGAGUCUGGUAAGUUUGCUUUUGGUCUGGAUUGAAUAUAAAUAUUUUUAUUAUUAUUCAUACUGAUGUUAAUAUAGUAUGGUUAUUUAGAAUGUUGUAGAACGUAAUUAGAAUGUCAAAUAUAAUACAAUGUUUUUAAACCAAAUUAUAUUAUAGUAAUGUUUCGUUCUAUUCUUUUAAAAUAGGUAACAUUCAGAAAUGUUUUUAAUGUGAGUAAUUUUUAUCAUGAUGAAUUUUUAGAAAUAAUGUGAUAAGUUAUGUUUUAUACUAUUGGUGUAAUUUAUACUAUUGGUGUAAUACUGAAAAUGAUGCUUUUUUUAAAAAAAAUAUUAAUAAAUUAUUUUAUUUAAUUAUUAUUAUUAUUAUUAUUAUUAUUAUUUUUAUUUAUUUAUUUAUUUAUUUUUUGUAGAGUUAUGUAAUAAUUCAACGUUCAGCAACUAUCAAUGCAACGAAACACCAGGGGUCAAUUAUAUCCAAAAACCUCCAACUCCAUACGAACUGACUGCUGAAACAAGAAGCAGAAGUCCCAUUUACAUCACUGAUACUCCACCCAACAGCUCCACAAUUCCAGGUAAGUGAAACAUUUUUAUCAAUAUUUAAGUAAUACAAAAUAUAUAUGUUAUUAU